rnacentral:lncRNA from 1 species
GCUCCUAUCAUCAUUAGUUUCAUCAAGGUACAAGCACUACAAAAAAGAAUUGAUGUAAUUGAUAUGAUAUUUUUGCCAUGCUUCAUGUGAGAUGUAUGACAUUUCUCAAGGUCUGACCAAAUUUGUUUGAAUAAAUAGAGAAGGCGGUCGGUAUAGCUUUAUAGGUUUAGUAACACAAAUUUCACAGUGUAAUAGAGGAUGUUCUUAUUGCAACAUAAUCACACAUUUCUUUAUUCAGAGCAGUAAAAAUUUUGGAUUUCCUUUU